CCCAAAAACGUUUUUGGAAAUUCCUGCACCCUAUUUCCCUUCCCAAUCCCAUCUGCCUCCACAAUGUUCUCCCAAAACUUGAAAAUUACAUCCACCCAAUUCACCCACUCACGAGAAUGUUGUCUACCCAAUCAUUCCCACUCACCCUCCAACUACACACCACCAGACAAUCGUUCUCUCCAACUACACACCACCGACGGACUCUGAUAAUCUCUGUACCGGCGCCUGUCAGUCAAUUCUUGCAAGAAGUCAGUCAUCUUGUUAGGGUCAAAGUUGGUUCUUUACUGUCCUUAAGUCGCAAAGUUGGAUCUAAGGGUUUAAAUUGGUGUAUACGAUAUGAGCCAUUGUCUAAAACUGUAUAGAAGGAUGCUACAUUUUCAAAUUACACGAAUCUAAUAUGAGCUUAGCAAAGAAUAAGAAAAGUAAAAUUGUGUAGGAUUGGAAAAGUAAUAAGGUCAUCGUAGAAGAUAGAUGAAGACCGCAAAACCCUAGGUAUCAUGCUUUGAUACCAUAAAGCAAGGAGAAGAGAUUGAAGAGGUCCAUGAAAGGAAAAAGGUCGAGUUCGAAGUUAUGCAAAGAGUUAUUGGCAACCAUGGAGAUAACUCUAGCUAUGGCGGGGGAACAUACAUUAUAACUUGCAUGUUAUUUCUACCGUUCCAGUUGCAAGUAUGAAUUGAAGAUGUUGAUUUUGGGUUGCAAGUAUGAAGACACUCGUUCAGGAAGUUAUUGUAUAUCACUUUCAUCUUUAAAGAUAUAUGUAUUUGUGAUACUUUGCACUUUUAUAAUUUUGUGUUACUUUGAAACCUUUGUAAUUUAUAUUCUUGGGUUAUUUUAUAAUGGUUUUGAUUUAA